rnacentral:rRNA from 1 species
UGGGGAAUAUUGCACAAUGGGCGCAAGCCUGAUGCAGCCAUGCCGCGUGUAUGAAGAAGGCCUUCGGGUUGUAAAGUACUUUCAGCGGGGAGGAAGGGAGUAAAGUUAAUACCUUUGCUCAUUGACGUAACCCGCAGAAGAAGCACCGGCUAACUCCGUGCCAGCAGCCGCGGUAAUACGGAGGGUGCAAGCGUUAAUCGGAAUUACUGGGCGUAAAGCGCACGCAGGCGGUUUGUUAAGUCAGAUGUGAAAUCCCCGGGCUCAACCUGGGAACUGGAUCUGAUAAUGGCAGGCUUGGGGCUCGUAGAGGGGGGUAGAAUUCCAGGUGUAGCGGUUAAAUGCGUAGAGAUCUGGAGGGAUACCGGUGGCGAAGGCCGCCCCCUGGACGAAGACUGACGAUCAGGUGCGAAAGCGUGGGGAGCAAACAGG